UACGUAGGUGGCGAGCGUUAUCCGGAAUUACUGGGUGUAAAGGGUGUGUAGGCGGGAUGGCAAGUCAGGCGUGAAAUGAGAAGGCUCAACCUUCUAACUGCGCUUGAAACUGUCAUUCUUGAGAGUGGGAGAGGUAAACGGAAUUCCUGGUGUAGUAGUGAAAUGCGUAGAUAUCAGGAGGAACACCGGUGGCGAAGGCGGUUUACUGGACCACAACUGACGCUGAGGCUCGAAGGCGUGGGGAGCAAAC
rnacentral:rRNA from 1 species